GGGCAAGUGGAAUUGGAGAACACUCCACUGGAUUCAUUUUAGGCUAUAAAUAGAAGAAUUACUGAAUUUUUUCCUUCUAAGUCACUUGCAUUUACCCCAGCAGUUUGUUACCGAGGCAAGCAGUCCUGAACACGAUGGGACAUGACAAUAGGAAAUGUAGCCUGAAGAAUAAGCAAUUCUUUGUUGCAAAGAACCAAAAUAAGCACAUCAGAGCAAGUUCAGAAGCCAAGAACUGCAGGUGCAACACUGCAAGCGUAGAGACUAUGGAACCAGCUGCGGCCCUUUGCUCAUCAGCAGCUGAGCAGGUCCACGAGGAAAGGCCGAGAACACACAGGGUGUUUCAAAGGCUGGCAGAGAGCUGCCAGUGUGCUGUGAGUGUCCACCUGCCCCACCCUCCGCGGGGAGGGAGGCUUUCCCUUCACCUCAAGCCAACGAGAAAGGAACUGCCUGAGAAAACCCUCCUGGAAAAAUCUGACAUGGGUUCUCUGAAGUUUGAAGAGCCAGCUGUAAGUCAGCUGAAAAGAACUUUUUUCAAGAAGACAUUCUGCCAGAAUGAGGCAUCUACAGCAGGAAGGGGCUGGAGAUACUUUGUCGAAAACAGAACCUGAGUUGGGAGUGCGGGGCAGGAAGCUUGUAAACAGUCAGCUGAAGGACCAGCCACACCAGGGAUCUGUGGUCUCCAGGCGGAGGGUUCUCAGAAGAACCCAUAAUAUUAUAUAUAUAUAUAUAUAAAAUCCAUAUAUCAUAUAUUUCUUUAUAUAUAAUAGUAGGUCCUUGCUACUUAUCUGUUUUAUAUAUAGUAGUGUGUACCAGUUAAUCCUAAACUCCUAAUUUAUCCCUCCCUCCCCUGCCGUUUCCCCUUUGGUAACCGUAAGGUUGUGUUCUAUGUCUAUGAGUCUAUUUCUGUUUUGUAAUAAGUUCAUUUGUUUCAUUUUUAUAGAUUUCACAUGUGAGUGAUACCACAUGGUGUUUGUCUUUGACUUACUUCACUCAGUAUGGUAAUCUCUAGGUCCAUUAAUGUUGAUACAAAAUUGCAUUAUUUAAUUAUUUUAUUAUGGCUAAUAAUUCCAUUGUGGAUAGAUAGAAAGAUAGAUGAUAGAUAGAUCACAUCUCCUUUUGGAGGUCAAUAUUCUUAGGUGAAUUUGUACCUGAAUAAAAGACUAAAUCCAAGGAAUCUUUUAAUUAUC
rnacentral:lncRNA from 1 species